AAGAGAAUAUUGAAAUUAAAGAAGCUGCUAACUAUCUUUAAAAGCGGUUUAAAUCCGUUUUUCUCUUA
rnacentral:tRNA from 1 species